GGCAAGCAAACUGCAGAGCAAGACGUGUUUCCUUUUCUGCAGAAGCCCAUACUACGCUGUCCCUAGAACCGGACCUUGGCUUUCAGCCUGGAACUGAGGAUGAUGGAUUGAAACCUGCCAGCUUGCUAAUGAGGCAGCCUUGCCUUGGGGAGUGGAGAAAUCUGGGCAAACAGGGCACACCCCAAAACAGACCUCAGACAGAGAAGAGGCAGAGGAGGGUUCCGAGAGUGGAGACAUCCCUUGGGAGAAAAAAAGGCAACUCUAGAGAAACCACUAAGAACUGUGUUUUCUCUAAGUUAUGAUGUAUUUAUUUACUUUUACCCAGUGAUGUCCUGUUUAAUGACUGUAAGGUAGCACAAGGCAGGGAGGAAGUCGACCUUAAAAGUUCAGGAAAGAAGAAAUUCAACUCUUAGGCAACCAGGAAAUUGAAGGGCCACUUUACAGAGAGAUGCUUGUGGCAUGCAGGGGUAUACCAGUAAUUCCUGCAGUGUCUUAGGGAUGCUUCAGCUAGGCUUCUUGGAAGAUCUGUCUGGGUCUUCCAGAGGACACAUUGUACCAGACCCACCUUAGGGACAUAUUUGAAAACACACAGACACAGCCCCCUGUGCUCUGAGGGCCUGGGGAUUUGACAUGUAACCACUCCUUGUUGUAAAAAUGUGUUCUUCAGUUUCAGCUUUCCUUCCUUAAAAAUGUGUAUGACUUUGCCUCAUGACUAAAACAAAGCUUGAAAGCAUCUGAGCAACAGAAGUGUUCCUGAGCCCUGACUCCACAGCCUCGAAAUCUGUUAUUUCCUAUUGUGCUCUAAAACUCAGCCAUUAGGUCAUAAAAGUGGCUGGUUUGCUCCAGGAAGACAUUACAUGUUUUGUUUUCUGUCCCAUUCUCAGUGAGGACUUGCCUCUUGCUGUUCCACUUUCCCUGCAGAGAAAAUUCAACUGGACAAAAAUAUUAUGGAGUCGGGCAGCUGGGGAACAGAGAGUCAGUUAUUAUUGCUUUGUCAGAGACCUUUCCUCUGGUCUAAUUAUAAUUACCUUGCCUAGCUAGAGUAUAAUUACUGUCUGUAUAAUG